GCGCGGUUAGCUUAGUGGUAGAGCGCUCGCUUCACACGCGAGAGGUCACAGGUUCAAUCCCUGUACCGCGCACGA
rnacentral:tRNA from 1 species